rnacentral:rRNA from 1 species
AGAGGKUGCGAGCGUUAAUCGGAAUUACUGGGCGUAAAGGGUGCGUAGGUGGUUUUGUAAGUAGUAUGUGAAAGUCCUGAGCUUAACUUGGGGAUUGCAUAUUAGACUGCAGAGCUAGAGUGUUGUAGAGGAGAGCGGAAUUUCCGGUGUAGCGGUGAAAUGCGUAGAUAUCGGAAGGAACACCAGUGGCGAAGGCGGCUCUCUGGACAACAACUGACACUGAGGCACGAAAGCGUGGGGAGCAAACAGGAUUAGAUACCCUGGUAGUCCACGCCGUAAACGAUGAGAACUGGUUGUUGGAUGCGAGAGCAUUUAGUAACGAAGCAAACGCGUUAAGUUCUCCGCCUGGGGAGUACGGCCGCAAGGCUA